GAUGAAGAACGUAGCGAAAUGCGAUACUUGGUGUGAAUUGCAGAAUUCAGUGAAUCAUCGAAUCUUUGAACGCACAUUGCGCCCCUUGGUAUUCCAUGGGGCAUGCCUGUUCGAGCGUCAUCUGUACCUUCAAGCUUUGCUUGGUGUUGGGUGUUUGUCUCGCCUUUGCGUGUAGACUCGCCUUAAAAUAAUUGGCAGCCGGCGUAUUGAUUUCGGAGCGCAGUACAUCUCGCGCUUUGCACUCAUAACGACAGCGUCCAAAAGUACAUUUUACACUCUUGACCUCGGAUCAGGUAGGGAUACCCGCUGAACUUAAGCAUAUCAAUAAGCGGAGGA
rnacentral:misc_RNA from 1 species